rnacentral:tRNA from 2 species
GCAAAGGUGGCUGAGCUGGUCUAAGGCGCACGACUGGAAAUCGUGUGUUCGGCUAAUAACCGACCGUGGGUUCGAAUCCCACCCUUUGCG